GGGGGGGCAAGCGUUGUUCGGAAUUACUGGGCGUAAAGGGUCUGUAGGUGGCCAACUAAGUCAGACGUGAAAUCCCUCAGCUUAACUGGGGAACUGCGUCUGAGACUGGAUGGCUCGAGUGCAGGAGAGGAAUGCGGAAUUCCAGGUGUAGCGGUGAAAUGCGUAGAUAUCUGGAGGAACACCGGUGGCGAAGGCGGCAUUCUGGACUGCAACUGACACUGAGAGACGAAAGCCAGGGGAGCAAACGGGAUUAGAUACCCCGGUAGUCCUGGCCCUAAACGAUGAAUGCUUGGUGUGGCGGGUAUCGAUCCCUGCCGUGCCGGAGUUAACGCGUUAAGCAUUCCGCCUGGGGAGUACGGUCGCAAGGCUG
rnacentral:rRNA from 1 species